GAUGAACGCUGGCGGCGUGCCUAAUACAUGCAAGUCGAGCGAACGGACGGGAAGCUUGCUUUUCUGAUGUUAGCGGCGGACGGGUGAGUAACACGUGGAUAACCUACCUUUAAGACUGGGAUAACUUCGGGAAACCGGAGCUAAUACCGGAUAAUAUUUUGAACCGCAUGGUUCAUAAGUGAAAGACGGUCUUGCUGUCACUUAUAGAUGGAUCCGCGCUGCAUUAGCUAGUUGGUAAGGUAACGGCUUACCAAGGCAACGAUGCAUAGCCGACCUGAGAGGGUGAUCGGCCACACUGGAACUGAGACACGGUCCAGACUCCUACGGGAGGCAGCAGUAGGGAAUCUUCCGCAAUGGGCGAAAGCCUGACGGAGCAACGCCGCGUGAGCGAUGAAGGUCUUCGGAUCGUAAAACUCUGUUAUUAGGGAAGAACAUAUGUGUAAGUAACUGUGCACAUCUUGACGGUACCUAAUCAGAAAGCCACGGCUAACUACGUG
rnacentral:rRNA from 1 species